rnacentral:lncRNA from 1 species
UCCUAGUCCAGCUAGAUAAACAUCAUCUAUCAAUUUCUCAGGAAUUUUCUGGUUUAUUUGGCAUUUUGACCCAAAGCUUUCUGUCUGCCAUCCUUCUCACUGGACUGGGGCUUAUUUCCCAGACUAUUUCACAUCGUUACUCCCAGUCCACUCUUGCCUUGUUUGUUUUUUGUGCACAUUAGCUAGUCUGGAUUUUGUUUGAUGGCAAAUGUACUUACAUUUCUGUCUCUAUGGCAAUCUACUUUAUGUCGAUGGGAAAUCUGUUGAAAUAAGAUAAUACUGCCAUUUUAUUUUCUUAUCAUCUCAUGGUUAUUGGUUAUUUAGAAUUUCUGAAAGAAAUAGACCAUUGGCCUAGGUUGAGAUUGUGAUGUCCCCUCGCUCACUCUAAAAUUGUUCACUGUGUAAAAAGCGAUCCUGACAGCUCAAAUGGCCAGUGCACAUUUCUUCUUUUUAUAGCCCUUAUUUUUACAAAACAUCCUAACAAUGCAUGGGUGCCAUACUUUCUGCUCACCCACACUGAGCAUUUAGAAUUCCCUGCCAUGUGAGUGGAACGAGAAAGUCUGAUUUUCAGUAACUUCAUCCGAUUACAGACAUACAGAAGUGAGUACACCUUCACAUUUUUGCAAAUAUUUGAUUAUAUCUUUUCAUGUGACAACACUGAAGAAAUGACACUUUUCUACAAUGUAAAGUAGUGAGUGUACAGCUUGUAUAACAGUGUACAUUUCCUGUCCCCUCAAAAUAACACAACACACAGCCAUUAAUGUCUAGACCGCUGGCAACCAGAGUACAACCCUAAGUGAAAAUGCCCAAAUUGGGCCCACGGCUAACAGUUACUCAUUGUAAAACCCUUUCCCUGAAAUCUUCAUCAUUGUGUUAUCUGUUCCCACAUAGUUGCCCCCACGUUCCUGUCGGAUCCUGCAUUCCGGUUCCCCUGACACACACUGAUGCUUGUGUGAGUCAGUCCACUGGGGGUGGUUCCUCCCGCCAGUGUUUUCAAGCUGUCCUCCUCACGCAGACAAAGCACAUGUUUUCAGAGGCAGAGCUCCGCAGCCGCCUUGGAUUAGAGGGUUGAAAGCCGAGCGCUCGGUGAACCCGGGAGACAUUCCAAGCGGAUCCCAGUCGUUGCGUGCGGAGAGUCUCUCUCCCAUUGCAUACCUGUUGCCCAUUCACCUCCCUGGGCUCCACCAGGCUGUCCAGGCCAGGAGAAGGCUGUCAAAGCAUCCGGCGGGUUCAGGUCAGCCAUGGAACCAAGGCUCAUGGUCCGCAGCGGAUGGCGGAGCGGAAGGACACUACGCUUGUCAGUUCUGUGAAAAGAGUGAUUUCUGUUUCCUGACUCAUGAAAUGGCUGUGAGUGCCCACCCUCAGAAUAGAACACUGUGCUCUGACUGUGGUUGUUCUCAGCCUUUCACUGUGGGAUCUACCACACCUUCCAGAGGGACCCCUAAGUCUCUUUGUUUCCAUAGUCGAGGAACCUCUUGGGAAGAGUGGCGUCAGUCGGACUCGACUCCACCUCCAUCAACAAACGGACGCCCGGAAACAGACCAUAGCAUCUCUGCGGCGUCUCUCAGAGUUUUCAAAACGCCCCGCCCUGAUGAGGCGGUUCUGGGCGAGCAGCACAGCGGCGUAGGGGUGAUACGGAGCUGAGGACGCAGGUCUGGAGGGAAAUAUAGUCCCGUGAAUUUCUAGCGAAGCGCGUUGACUGUUCAUUCUGUCAGUGUGUUUUGGGGAAUCUAUGUGAGCCGGGGCGUCAGCCACUGGCAAUUGUGGGUUGCAGCCCAGGGUAAAACAUUUCUACUAACAAUGAGAAGCUUCUUUGAAAAAAGUUGAAGUAACUUAAAUAGAAAAAGAAAAAUAGAAUGUGUAAACACAAGGAAUAUUCGUUGAUAUGAAUAACAACGUAGUUAAUUGGACUUAAUCGAGUCGAGGCGGUGAGUUGCCCGGCCACACACCAACUCAGAUCAGCUGGAACACGUCAGUCUCCUCUGAUGAGGUAUAAAGUACCUCCCUGACAGAUAAAGGAUGUUAGUAGCUGAACCUCUGGUUGGUCAGCUGAAUCAACAACACAUAACCUUGAGCAGUCUAUCUCUUCACAUGAGGACCUCCCCUUCACUGUGUGCCGGCAAUGGACUCUGUAUGUUCUAAAUAUGCAAAUGCACACCAACUAGCCUACGUGCAAGCCUGGCAAUUUGCUGGAUAGAAGCCAUUGGUUAUUAUAUUUUUUUCCACUAACUGAACAAUGGCUUGGCGUUCAGUGUUCCAUUACUGAUGUUUCCAAUUAGCACUAAGUAAGAUAAAUCUGUGAAUAAAAACUCAACAAAUAUUGGGAUUAGAUCCAAUAUUCUACGCAAAUGAAAUGUUGAUCAUGGUAUGAUAAUUAUUUAGGGAUCAAUAACAAAUCAAUCUUUUUGAUGAAUGAUGGAAGGUGAACUGCAUCUGUGAAAACAGUUAAUUUGUGUCCUUUUUUUAGCUGAGAAUGCUGAAGGAUAGAGAAGGGGGACAUUUUCUUUUAAUAAUAAAUAAUGUGGGUUUUUAAAUGUGAUUUAGACAUUUUUAAGGAGCCAUUUGAAAGCGGACAAUUACAGUUGUAAUUUGGAUUCACAUUUAAUUUUAGGUCAUAACAGAAUGGCACAAUAUUUUUUUUUUUACUGACCCCUGUUCAAAAGUCUGCAUACCCUUAGUUCUUAAUACUGUGUAUUGCCCCCUUUAGCAUCACUGCCAGCAUGCAGUCUUUUGUAAUAGUUGUCUAUGAGGCCCCGAAUUCUUGCAGGUGGUAUAGCUACCCUUGGCAAAAUGCCUCCACGUCAUUCAAAGUCUUUGGUCGUCAUGCAUGAACCGCAUGUUUGAGAUCUCCCCAGGGUGGCUCAAUGAUAUUAAGGCCAGGAGACUGUGAUGGCCAUUCCAGAACCUUCACCUUUUUCUGCUGUAACCACUGGAGGGUCAACUUGGCCUUGUGCUUAGGGUCAUUGUCGUGCUUAAAAGUCCAAGAGCGUCCCAUGCGCAGCUUUCGUGCAGAAUAAUGCAAAUUGUCUGCCAGUAUUUUCUGAUAACAUGCUGCAGUCAUCUUGCUAAAAAUGUUCACAAGAUUUCCAGUGCCUCUAGAGCUCACACCCCAAAAACAUCAGUGAGCCACCACCAUGCUUCACAGUGGGGAUGGUAUUCUGUUCACUAUAGGACUUGUUGACCCCUCUCCAAACAUAGUGCUUAUGGUUGUGACCAUAAAAUACAGUGUGCCAGAAGCUGUGAGGCAUGUCAAGGUGUUGUCGGGCAUAUUGUAACCAGGCUUUUCUGUAGCAUUGGCGCAGUAAAGGCUUAUUUCUGGCAACUCGAUCCUUGCAGCUAAUUUUUGUUCAAGUAUCGUUGUAUUGUGCUCCAUGAAACAACCACACCGCCUUUUUCCAGAGCAGCCUGUAUUUCUCCUGAGGUUACCUGUGGGUCCCAAACUAUUCUUCUGGCAGUUUUGUCUGAAAUUUUUCUUGAUCUACCUGACCUUGGCUUGGUAUCAAGAAAUCCCUGAAUGUUCCACUUUUAAUACGUGAUUGAACAGUACUGACUGGCAUUUGCAAGGCUUUGGAUAUCUUUUUAUAUCCUUUUUCAUCUUUAUAAAGUUCAAUUACCUUGUUACGCCGGUCUUUUGACAGUUAUUUUCUGCUCCCCAUGGCUCUGUAUCUAGCCUGCUCAGUGCAUCCACAAACUCAUUGACUAUUUAUACACAGACACAGAUUGUAAUAAAAAAUUCACCUUUAAUUGCCAUUUUCACCUUUGCGUGUCACCUUGUGUCUCUGUAACAAGGCCAAACAUUCAAGGGUAUGUAUACUUUUGAUCAGGGCCAUUUGGGUGAUUUCUGUUAUCAUUAUGAUUUAAAAAGGAGCCAAACAACUAUGUGAUAAUAAAUUGAUUCAUAUGAUCACUAUCUUUAAAUAAAAUACUUUCAAUAAAAGAUUUUCAAAAUCAAUGCCAAAAUUUAAACAAUUUCUGCCAGGGUAUGCAAACGUUUGAGCACAACUGUAUAUUAUAAACAUUACUGAGGAAAGAUGUUAUUUGAAAUGGAACACUUCCCAAACGGGUAACUGACAAAGCCAGAAAAAAAUAUACAUAUUGCUUUUUAGCAACAUAUGGACCUGAAAAUCUAGCUGUGAACUAGAAGAUGAUGCAAAC